rnacentral:rRNA from 1 species
ACUCCUGCGGGAGGCAGCAGUGGGGAAUAUUGCACAAUGGGCGCAAGCCUGAUGCAGCCAUGCCGCGUGUAUGAAGAAGGCCUUCGGGUUGUAAAGUACUUUCAGCGGGGAGGAAGGCAAUACGGUUAAUAACCGUGUUGAUUGACGUUACCCGCAGAAGAAGCACCGGCUAACUCCGUGCCAGCAGCCGCGGUAAUACGGAGGGUGCAAGCGUUAAUCGGAAUUACUGGGCGUAAAGCGCACGCAGGCGGUCUGUCAAGUCGGAUGUGAAAUCCCCGGGCUCAACCUGGGAACUGCAUUCGAAACUGGCAGGCUUGAGUCUUGUAGAGGGGGGUAGAAUUCCAGGUGUAGCGGUGAAAUGCGUAGAGAUCUGGAGGAAUACCGGUGGCGAAGGCGGCCCCCUGGACAAAGACUGACGCUCAGGUGCGAAAGCGUGGGGAGCAAACAGGAUUAGAAACCCGUGUAGUCCCAUGAU